AGCAAUCCACGAUUUACCAAAAACAAUUUACAAAAAAUGUUUGAUCGAUUGUUUUUUUAAUAUAACCAUAUUUUGUUCCAAAUUUCGUUAGUUACUCAAAAAAAUCUUUCAGAAAAUACGGAUGGCUUAGGACGAAUACCUUUUCAAUCUUCAAAAAUAUACACGGGACUUACAAAUACCUUAAAACGUGUUUUAAUAAAUAAAUGGGCUGUUCGCAAAUGUUUAUAAAUUUAAAGUAAGGUGCGACGACACUGGAAUAAAAUUAAC
rnacentral:lncRNA from 1 species